GCACACACAAAGACAGUACUGGGGGAAGGGAAGGGAUUUUAUUCUUUUUUUUUAGACAACCAAAUUAAACAAUCUUGUAGUACAUACAAAUUCUUACCAAAAAGGGCUUUCAGUUUUAAUUUCAGGUGACGCUUUCAAGGUCGGGAUAAAUUCACAGCCAAUUGUUCAAGAUAACCAAAUUUAGGAAAAGGACUUUUACACAUUCCAUUAAAAUAAUUUACUUUUUACUUUAAAAGGUUAAAAUAUUAUCUGGCAUUCUGGAGGUAAAAUGCAGCAUCGCUGGCUUCAAACAUUGGCCCGCGGAGGAAAGACCAGUGACUUGGGGCAAAUGCAACACUGCUUUAUGGACUCUGGACAAAGGGCAAAAUAAUGAGGGUUAUAUCAAUGCAAAAAAAAAU